ACCAGCAAGUUUUUUCAUUAUAAAAAUGUAUUUUCCCAAUUUAGAUUGGGUGGGUCAUGAAAAAUGUUUUGUAAGAUUAGAUGAGCUUCCUAAGAUGGGUCACCGAACUUAUUGGCAAAAUUUGUGAUUUACCUCCAGCCCACCCUAGCAGUUACUUUAAGACCAGUCCCUAAUCUACGUGAUUGCCAACUCUCAUGCCCGUUUGAUCUGCUGGGCUUUAAGUUGUAAAGCCAAUCUGUGAUUGUAAAAUAUUUAUACUCAUAUUGAUAGUAGUUAUAUUAUGACUUACGUACUAUAUUGGAAUUUAAAUGCAC